UUUCAUAGCUCAAAACAUUUAAAUCAUUAUUCUCAUUCUGUCACCUUAAAUUUUGUAAUAUAUAUAUAUAUAUAUAUAUAUAUAUAUAUAGUCAAAGGUUUUAAUUGUAGUAUAUAAGUUACAUUUUCAUUUUAAAGAAAAAAUUACAUGCUUUUUGCCGUGGGUGUUUAAACCAAAGGUGCAAACUACAAAGACCAAAUCGAAUUUUGCUUACUCUUAUAACUUCACCAUGUGUUCACAUCAGUAGCGCUGAAAAGUUUCAGUUGAAUGUAUUAUUCUUUUGGAUAUUCCUUCUUGUAUAAAAGUAGCUUAUCAAAACUGCUAAUAAUAAUAUUCAUACAAAUCGAUUCACGUUCACCCUGGAGUGUAA
rnacentral:lncRNA from 1 species